UGGGGAAUAUUGCGCAAUGGGCGAAAGCCUGACGCAGCCAUGCCGCGUGUGUGAAGAAGGCCCUAGGGUUGUAAAGCACUUUCAAUUGGGAGGAAAAGCUGCAGUUUAAUACGCUGUAGCCUUGACGUUACCUUUAGAAGAAGCACCGGCUAACUCCGUGCCAGCAGCCGCGGUAAUACGGAGGGUGCGAGCGUUAAUCGGAAUUACUGGGCGUAAAGCGCGCGUAGGCGGUCUGUUAAGUCAGCUGUGAAAGCCCCGGGCUUAACCUGGGAACUGCAGUUGAUACUGGCAGACUCGAAUACAGGAGAGGGAGGUAGAAUUCCACGUGUAGCGGUGAAAUGCGUAGAUAUGUGGAGGAAUACCAGUGGCGAAGGCGGCCUCCUGGCCUGAUAUUGACGCUGAGGUGCGAAAGCGUGGGGAGCAAACAGG
rnacentral:rRNA from 1 species